GAUGAAGAACGUAGCGAAAUGCGAUACGUAAUGUGAAUUGCAGAAUUCAGUGAAUCAUCGAGUCUUUGAACGCACAUUGCGCCCCCUGGUAUUCCGGGGGGCAUGCCUGUCCGAGCGUCAUUUCAACCCUCAUGCCCCUAGGGCGUGGUGUUGGGGAUCGGCCAAAGCCCGCGAGGGACGGCCGGCCCCUAAAUCUAGUGGCGGACCCGUCGUGGCCUCCUCUGCGAAGUAGUGAUAUUCCGCAUCGGAGAGCGACGAGCCCCUGCCGUUAAACCCCCAACUUUCCAAGGUUGACCUCAGAUCAGGUAGGAAUACCCGCUGAACUUAAGCAUAUCAAUAAGCGGAGGA
rnacentral:misc_RNA from 1 species